CAUCUGGUUUGCGCUUAGUGUGACUAUAGUUUGUUUUUCAACAGGACAAUGGCCCAACACACCUGGUUGAGAGAAUGCCAAGAGUGUGCAAAGCUGUCAUCAAGGCAAAGUGUGGCUACCUUGAAGAAUCUCAAAUCUCAAAUAUAUUUUUAUUUGUUUAACACUUUUUGGGUUACUACAUGAUUACAUAUGUGUUAUUUCAUAGUUUUGAUGUCUUCACUAUUAUUCUACAAUGUAGAAAAUAGUAAAAAUUAAGAAAAAACCUUGAACGAAGGAUGUCCAAACUUUUGACUGCUACUGUAUAUACAUAUACAUAUGCAGUAAUUUAAGUAGAACGCUUGAGGGCGACUAGGCACCAGUUCUGAAUAAAUAAGAACAGAAGAUAGCCACGUGUGGUUCAGAUGUGAAGGUUCAUAGUUGAAAUUCGGAAAGAUGGUGGAGCACGCAGAAAUCCGCAUGGUUCACUGUGGUGGCACCAAAAUAAACUUUAGGGAGCCAGUUAUUACAAAUGAUUCCAGGUUCCUUUUGUGUGCCGCGGGGGAGUCCGUGAACGUGUAUAGUACCAGCACAGAGGAAUACGUCCAUGAUUUGCAGGGACACACUGACCUGGUGACAGGCGUUGUCCUCAACCCUUCAAACCAUCUGCAGGUAUACUCGUGUUCAGCAGAUGGCACUGUCCGAUUGUGGGACUUCACGGAUGGCAUCCUCAUCAAGACCUUCAUUAUCGGGUACCCAAUCUACUCCAUUUACGUCUCGGAAAAACAUGGAGGAGUUGUUUUUGUCGUCGUUCCCAUGGCAAAUUACAAGAGCUCUGAGCUGUUCCAGCUGGUGGCUGUUAAUCUGCCCCGCAGUGGGGACCAGGAAGUGGAAGCGCGAGAGCUGUCGGCCGUGCUCUGUGAUGUCAGCCCCCACCCUGGGGCUGCCUCCUUUGGCAGAGAGGGUGAAUACAUAGCUGCUGUCAAAGGUUUACAGCUCGAGGUAUUUUUCUUCAAAAAGCAGAAGUCGUACAGGUUUUCGCUGAAGUCAUGGAUGAAGAAAGGGGCCAAGAAUGCCUUCACUUGUGUUUCGUGCCACCCUAAAGAGGACUGUAUUGCCACAGGUCACGCAGAUGGCAAGAUUCGCAUGUGGAGAAACUUCAACCAGAAGAAGGAGUACACAUACUCCACCUUGCACUGGCACCACGGUGCUGUCAACACACUGUGCUUCACCCCAGAAGGCACUAAUCUUCUGAGUGGGGGCAUAGAGUCCGUGCUGGUCCAAUGGCAUUACACACAGGAGAACCAGAAAGACUUCUUACCCCGCCUGGGCGCCGCCAUCACACACAUCGCCGUGUCACCUGACGGUUCCUUGUUCUGCACCUCGCACUCUGACAACAAGAUCAAAAUCAUUCAGAGUUGUGUCAAAGUGUCGGCCAUCAUCCAGGGGCUGGUUAAAGGCGAUGGUGUGUGGACAAACCUAAUCAUCGACCCGCGCAGUAAAGCUUUGGUGCUUAACGGGAAACCAGGACACCUGCAGUUCUACUCUCUCCACCGCGACAAGCAACUCUACAACUUGGACAUAGUACAGCAGGAGUACAUCCACGAGGAGGGUCUGGACCAGUUUGAGGUGGUCAAAGCGGCAUUCGACGCCCGCGGCGACUGGCUUGCUACCGUGGAGGAGAGGGGAAAAAAAGGCGCUGAGCUGGAGAUCAAUUUGAAGCUGUGGGCGUACGACAAGCUAACUCAGAGUUUUGUGCUGAACACCACAGUGACAGCUCCCCACGAGGACCGGAUUACAGCCAUGUACUUCAGCCCCUCCCCAGAGACCACCAUGCUGGUGACCACUAGCCUCGACGGCCACUUCAAAGCCUGGCUGCUGGCAGACCACUCAGACACCAAGGCAGAGGGCUUCUGGGCAUGUGACUUUGUGAGUGGGUAUCAUCUCCUGAAGCCCGGUUGCUGCUCCUUCUCGGCUGACGGCUCCCUUUUGGCCGUGGGCUUCCAGGAGGUGGUGACCGUGUGGAGCCCCGCUUCCUGGGAGCUACUCACCACUCUGUCCCAGCCCCCAGGCGCCAUCAGGGACCUUUGUUUUGGACGGUUAAGCUGUUCCAAGUACCUGUUGGGGACCAGCACCAAGAACCAACUCUGCUGCUGGAACCUCCUCACCUGCUCACUGGAGUGGAGUACUCCCAUGGAUGUAAGCCUGCUCCAGACUGACCCGCUGUCUGAGAACAUCGCUGCCUUCUGCAGUCAAUCUGGCAGCUCUGACUUGUUUGUGUUCAAGCCCAGUGAGCCACGGCCCCUCUACUCCCAGAAGGCUUUGUGCACGGGCAAGGUGCAGCAUGCAGUCUUCGCGCCGCGCGACCAGAUGCUGGAGAGCUGCGAGGAGCGUACCCAGUGGCUCAACAGAUCCCAGCUCUACUUCUUCACCCAACACAUGGAUUUGUUGACUUUUAGCACCAAGACGGAAGAGGACAGACUGUUGGCAUCCAGUAAACAGCUCAUGGUAGACGACAGUGUUGCCGUGACGCCGUUCUACCUGUUGUUAGGGAAACACAGACGGCAGCAACUGGAGAAGCAGGAAGCGCUGACCAAUCCCAUGGCAGAAAGGACUCAGCUCCCACAGGGUUCCAUUGCCAUCAAGGAGCUGCUGCACACCCCAGCCCACGUCCUGCCAUCAGCCUCGUUCCUCUGCGCCAUGUUUGUCCGCUCCCUGCUCAUCUCCAUCUCCUCUGCCGGUCUCCCAGUCCAUGCUGCUUUAAAACAUCCCCACAGCAUGAUGCUGCCACCACCAUGCUUCACCGUAGGGAUGGUGCCAGGUUUCUUCCAGACAUUAUGCUUGGCAUUCAGGUAAAAUAGUUCAAUCUUGGUUUCAUCAGACCAGAUAAUCUUGUUUCUCAUGAUCUGAGAUCUGUCAUGUGAGUUUUACUGAGGAGUGGCUUCCGUCUGGCCACUCUACCAUAAAGGCCUGAUUGGUGGAGUGCUGCAGAGAUGGUUGUCCUUCUGGUAGGUUCUCCCAUCUCCACAGAGUAACUCUAGAGCUCUGUCAGUGACCAUCGGGUUCUUUGUCACUUCCCUGACCAAGGCCCUUCUCCCCCUAUUUAUUGCUCAGUUUGGCCGGGCAGCCAGCUCUAGGAAGUGUUUUGGUGGGUCCAAACUUCCAUUUAAGAAUGAUGGAGGCGACUGUGUCCUUAGGGACCUUCAGUGCUACAGAAAUGUUUUGGUACCCUUCCCCAGAUCUGUGCCUCGACACAAUCCUGUCUCUGAGCUCUACGGACAAUUCCUUCAACCUCAUGUCUUGUUUUUUGCUCUGACAUGCACUGUCAACUGCGGGACCUUUACAUAGACAGAGAGGAAAAAGAACAUGAAGAAGAGGAAAUGGAGAGAGAGAAAGAGGAAGAGGACUCCGAAGGGGAAGCAGACCCCCGUCUGGGGGAA